UACGGAGGGUGCAAGCGUUGUUCGGAAUCACUGGGCGUAAAGCGCGUGUAGGCGGCCAUCUAAGUCUGGUGUGAAAGCCCUGGGCUCAACCCAGGAAGUGCACUGGAUACUGGAUGGCUGGAGUACCGGAGAGGAGGGUGGAAUUCCUGGUGUAGCGGUGAAAUGCGUAGAUAUCAGGAGGAACACCGGUGGCGAAGGCGUCCCUCUGGCCGGAUACUGACGCUGAGACGCGAAAGCGUGGGGAGCGAACAGG
rnacentral:rRNA from 1 species